rnacentral:rRNA from 1 species
GAUCCUGGCUCAGGACGAACGCUGGCGGCGUGCCUAACACAUGCAAGUCGAACGGAGUUGAAAGGAGCUUGUCUUUUUUCAACUCAGUGGCGGACGGGUGAGUAACGCGUGAGUAACCUGCCUUUCAGAGGGGGAUAACGUUCUGAAAAGAACGCUAAUACCGCAUAAGAUUGUAGCUUCGCAUGGAGCAGCAAUCAAAGGAGCAAUCCGCUGAAAGAUGGACUCGCGUCCGAUUAGAUAGG